rnacentral:rRNA from 1 species
UACGGAGGGUGCAAACGUUGCUCGGAAUUAUUGGGCGUAAAGCGCACGUAGGCGGUCCAGCAAGUCGGGUGUGAAAGCCCUCGGCUUAACCGAGGAAGUGCAUUCGAAACUACUGGACUUGAAUACUGGAGAGGAUCGCGGAAUUCCCGGUGUAGAGGUGAAAUUCGUAGAUAUCGGGAAGAACACCCGUGGCGAAGGCGGCUCUCUGGGACGGUACUGACGCUGAGACGCGAAAGCGUGGGGAGCGAACAGG